ensembl:snRNA U1 U1 spliceosomal RNA
AUACUUACCUGGCAGGGUAGAUACCAUGGUCACAAAGAUGGUUUUCCCAGGCUGAGGCCUAUCUAUUGCACUCAUAUGUGCUGACCCCUGCGAUUUCCCCAAAUGUGGGAACCUCAACUGCAUAAUUUGUGGUAGUAUGGCCCUGCAUUUGUGCUCUCUCCUG